UCAAAUUACAAGAUAAAAAAAUACAGAUUAAUAAUUAGUCUUUUCUGAUAGUUAAACUUAUAGUCAUGUUAAGUUUUCUAGGUAUACAUAGAUAUAAUUUAAUUAGGUAGAUAAUCUUCACACACUUUAAAGACCUACAGAAUAUGGCAUUUAAAAUGUUUUAAAAACUUAGACUUUCUGAACAGUGAGACACAUCUGCUCCUGGCAGCACCGAUUUACUUCAAAGCAAAAGAUGAGCAUCAAAGACACUCUGUAUGGAGUUUAUCUUCUUCUUGGAAAAAAAUAACCAUUUGGGAAAGAAACUGUUCUUGCCUGGACUGCUUAAAAAAUGUAUUGACUGGAUAUGCAGGACCCAUAGGAAGAUAACCACUGAACUUUGCUUGGCAAAAUGCUCCUUCAGGUUCCUGCUUCACAGAGGAAACUGCCAGACAUUUUACAGGACACAGAGAGAAGUGACUGAGAGUCUCUAGGCCUGUGGGUUGAAGACAGAUGCCCCAACUUUACAGAGGAACUUUGGAUGACUGUCCAGGCUGCCAGCUGUCUCUGUCUACUCUUGCAAGACUCCCAAAAGUUGCUUGUGUCCUUUUCCCAUUUGUCAGAUACAUGGAAUACUAAUGUUUAAACUAUGAAUUCAACAUAAAUUUGUACAGUGACUGCUUGGUACUAUAACGAAGAGAGUAUAAUCUCUGUGAAGGCUACUAAGAAGUUACCCAACUAGUCAUGUUGGAGCUCAAGUGGUGGCAGUUCAAUGUCCUGCUCUCUGCUUAGGAAGACUGAUCUGUGCUGGAAGAUCAGGCUAUAACAGCCUCAACAAGAGUGACAUGACUGACCCUUGUGUAAUCAUGCACCAAGGACCCCUGCUGAGUUAUCACACCUGGCUGCAUUCACUCACCAAAGAUCAUAUGUCCUGGUGGGGCUGACUGGACAAAAGGGUCUACUGAGUGACACACUGCAGCUCCUGAUGCCACUGGGAGAAGUGUUGGAAAGAUGGAGGAGGGAGAUGGGUUUUUUGUUUGUUUGUUUUGUUUUGAAUUAAUUUGGGGGGCAUGCUGCUGGGAUGUGGGUCAGAUAUAGAGGGACUGGGAGGUAGGUGGAAUUGGGA